CCAGACUCCUACGGGAGGCAGCAGUGGGGGAUAUUGCACAAUGGGGGAAACCCUGAUGCAGCAACGCCGUGUGAGUGAAGAAGUAUUUCGGUAUGUAAAGCUCUAUCAGCAGGGAAGAGAAUGACGGUACCUGACUAAGAAGCCCCGGCUAACUACGUGCCAGCAGCCGCGGUAAUACGUAGGGGGCGAGCGUUAUCCGGAUUCACUGGGUGUAAAGGGAGCGUAGACGGCCAAGCAAGCCAGGGGUGAAAGCCCGGGGCCCAACCCCGGGACUGCCCUUGGAACUGCUUGGCUGGAGUGCCGGAGAGGCAGGCGGAAUUCCUAGUGUAGCGGUGAAAUGCGUAGAUAUUAGGAGGAACACCAGUGGCGAAGGCGGCCUGCUGGACGGUGACUGACGCUGAGGCUCGAAAGCGUGGGGAGCAAACAGGAUUAGAUACCCUAGUAA
rnacentral:rRNA from 1 species